GCGGGCAUAGUUUAGUGGAAAAACUUUAGCCUUCCAAGCUAAUAAUGAGGGUUCGAUUCCCUCUGCCCGCU
rnacentral:tRNA from 1 species